rnacentral:rRNA from 1 species
CCUACGGGGGGCUGCAGUGGGGAAUAUUGCACAAUGGGCGCAAGCCUGAUGCAGCCAUGCCGCGUGUGUGAAGAAGGCCUUCGGGUUGUAAAGCACUUUCAGCGGGGAGGAAGGCGUUAAGGUUAAUAACCUUGGCGAUUGACGUUACCCGCAGAAGAAGCACCGGCUAACUCCGUGCCAGCAGCCGCGGUAAUACGGAGGGUGCAAGCGUUAAUCGGAAUUACUGGGCGUAAAGCGCACGCAGGCGGUCUGUCAAGUCGGAUGUGAAAUCCCCGGGCUCAACCUGGGGACUGCAUUCGAAACGGGCAGGCUAGAGUCGUGUAGAGGGGGGUAGAAUUCCAGGGGUAGCGGGGAAAUGCGUAGAGAUCUGGAGGAAUACCGGGGGCGAAGGCGGCCCCCUGGACAAAGACUGACGCUCAGGUGCGAAAGCGUGGGGAGCAAACAGGAUAGAUACCCGAGUAGUC